CUACGGGGGGCUGCAGUGAGGAAUAUUGCGCAAUGGGGGAAACCCUGACGCAGCGACGCCGCGUGGAUGAUGAAGGCCUUCGGGUCGUAAAAUCCUGUCAGAAGGAAAGAAGUGUAUGGUAGCUAAUAUCUGCCAUACUUGACGGUACCUUCAAAGGAAGCACCGGCUAACUCCGUGCCAGCAGCCGCGGUAAUACGGAGGGUGCAAGCGUUGUUCGGAAUUACUGGGCGUAAAGCGCGCGUAGGCGGUUUUAUAAGUCAGAUGUGAAAGUCCACGGCUCAACCAUGGAAGUGCAUUUGAAACUGUAAGACUUGAGUAUUGGAGGGGGGAGUGGAAUUCCCGGUGUAGAGGUGAAAUUCGUAGAUAUCGGGAGGAAUACCGGUGGCGAAGGCGACUAUCUGGCCAAAUACUGACGCUGAGGUGCGAAAGCGUGGGGAGCAAACAGGAUUAAAUACCCGUGUAGUC
rnacentral:rRNA from 1 species